GACGAACGCUGCGGCGUGCCUAAUACAUGCAAGUAGAACGCACAGGAUGCACCGUAGUUUACUACACCGUAUUCUGUGAGUUGCGAACGGUGAGUAACGCGUAGGUAACCUGCCUGGUAGCGGGGGAUAACUAUUGGAAACGAUAGCUAAUACCGCAUAAGAACAUUUACUGCAUGGUAGAUGUUUAAAAGGUGCAAAUGCAUCACUACCAGAUGGACCUGCGUUGUAUUAGCUAGUAGGUGAGGUAACGGCUCACCUAGGCGACGAUACAUAGCCGACCUGAGAGGGUGAUCGGCCACACUGGGACUGAGACACGGCCCAGACUCCUACGGGAGGCAGCAGUAGGGAAUCUUCGGCAAUGGGGGGAACCCUGACCGAGCAACGCCGCGUGAGUGAAGAAGGUUUUCGGAUCGUAAAGCUCUGUUGUUAAGGAAGAACGAGCGUGAGAAGGAAAGUUCAUACUGUGACGGUACUUAACCAGAAAGGCAACG
rnacentral:rRNA from 1 species